CGCCGGCCGACGAGGAGGGUGGGCUGCCCAAUCACAGGGGGAGCCACCGGGUGAUUGACGGCGGCCACGCGCCCGGCCGGCCAAUGGCAGCGGCUCCUCUGCGAGUUGGGGCGGGAUUACCUGCCCCAAGUCAGGCACUCCUGAUUGGCCCAGGCCGGCCGCGCUCGCUGUGUGCCGCAGGAAACCCUGUGCAUUUCUUCUCGGCGGUGGCGGCGGCAGCACCAGCCCCGGCCCCAACCAGCAGCAGCCGCGUCCCCGCACGAAUCAGAGCGGCAUCUAUUUUCAGGUCCAUUGGAGGGACCAGAUAUGCCAGAUGUGUCCAGACUGUGGAUCUGUUAACCUUCAAGCAGAGAGGAGCACUGGCACACCGCUGAGAACCACGUGUCAAGAACGAAAAUAAAGCCCUGGUUAUUGGAGUCCCAAGGAACAGCAGCAGGAUGAGUAUGACUUACACGGGAAGCUCAUGGCAGGAGUAUGCAUUGGGGAAGUCCUGAUCCAGGGAAGGUGAGGAACCAGCACAUAGCACUGUCCAAGGCUGACAGCUCAUCUGAAGAGGAUCCUGAGGCUUUCUCAGGCUCUCCUGAAACGCUAAAGCAUGUGGGAGUUUGACCAUCAGAGCCCAAAUCCGUGAGCUGUGGUAGACCUGAGAGAAGUGGUUUCUGACAUAUCUGAUGCCUUCAGUGCUUAUUUCUCCUUCCUUUUCCUUGCCCAGCUGGGAUGUUUUUGCAAGGUGUCUGUGAUGUUUCUCAGCAGUGUUUUUGAUAUUUGCCAGUAAUGCCUGUGCCUGGUUGCUGGGCUUGUUUGGGAGCAGCUUGCUGGAAUACUCUUAUCUGGGAAAUGUCUCCUGUGAGAUGUUUGUUCUCUGUGAGGAGUUUUGGUUUUUUUCCUUUUUUUUUUUUAAAAAAACAGGCCUGUUGUGUGAGAGCAUGCAGAAAAUCUGUUUGUUGGCCAUGUUCUGUAGUAUCUGUCAUAAAAAGACAAUAUCUGUAAAAUUGUCUGGUCCUGUAAAUAUUCUUGCUGAUAAACUUGAGAGUAUCAACAGAGAGAGCAAAGCGCUGUCGUGUGGUAUAGUAAGAAACUUUUUUAGCGUUGGCAUACAAGGGAUCUACUAAACUGUCUAGUUUCUUGUUAGAAUAUGGGUAGGACGGAACAGAUAAAAUUCAACUCUUAGAUGUCAGAGGUGGAAGAGACCCUGAGUGUCCAUUUUGUCCAUUUCCCUGCCUACACGCAGGGUUAACCUAAGCAAAGCUUCGUAAUAGCCGUUUGUCUGUCCGGUGGCAUGGAGUCCAUCCCCUCUCCUGGCAAACUGCUCCACAUCUGAACAGGAUGAACUAGAUGUAUCUAUUCCUGUGGUGUUUGUAGGGAAUCUGGAUCUGUUGUUUCGUUGCAUGCUGGAAGGCAUGAAUUCAUUCCAGAAUAAACUGAGCAUGCAUCUGGUUUAUUUGUGUGCAUGUUUGUGCUUCAAACCCUUGCUUGAGUGGUUGCUCAUGGUGCUGCCCUCUUCUCUCUGCAUUCCCAGAAUUUUUCAGUUUGCGAGCAAUUGUUCUUUGGGGCUCUACAUCUCUGUCCUAAUGAGCUGGGGGAAAGUUUGUCUGACCUGGGAAUCAAUAAGAGCUGCAGAAUAUUCUUGGAGAGUUACUGAAUGGUUUGGCAGGGUGUUUUUACUGCAAAGAUGCUCAGGUAAAAAGUCAUGAUUCCCAGUGUAACACUGUGAAAAUUUACAUUUAUGUCCUCAUUCCUUGUCUGGGUUGUUUUUGUAAGCCCUAGUUUUUGCAGGUUUUGUGCUGUGCAAAAGGAGGGAAGGUUAGUCCUCUCAUUCCUAAGGCUAGGAGAUGCCUUCCUAGCCUUAGGCCUACAAAAUACACACAUGGCUAAGGCAUUGCCAUGUUCUUCACGAUGUCUCCACCAUCGUUCCUUCACCUGUCCCCUGCCCCCUCCUCUGCUAUCUAUACCAGCCCCUUUUCAGUUUGUUAAGCUUAGAGAUAGCCGAUGUACUCCGUUUGCAGUGUGUCCUGGGCCUAAGAGAUGAGUCCUAACUGGUAGGCUUACUUACUGAUGUGCAUUGGAAGUUCCGGGCUUUUGGAGCUGGGUGCUGACUUUGUCCUAGGGACAGCAGGUGAGGAUUAACUUUGACACUGCAACAUCAGGAGGCUGAUGAUCUCGAAGACUGCAGUUUUGGGUUGCUAUAGACCUGGAGACUGCAUGUCACCUGCUGCAAAGAGUUGGUGCACAGGCCCUGUGACCCUGGGCAGACGCAGAAUGUAGUAGAGGGAGGUGAAGCCAGGGUUUCCUGUCCUCUGCUACAUGAGAUGUAAAGCAAUGUAAAGCAUUCCAGGGUGUUUCUGUUGUCCUUUGGUAUGCAUCAGUGGAUAUGAAGAUUGUUCUGAAUCUUCUGAAGUCUGAGGAGCCUGAGAAAAACAGGCAGAUGGUUUGAUUUGUAGCAGGAAAAUAAAAAAAAGUGGGGAAAACAUAACUUAGAAAUCUGUUUCCACCCCUUGUCUCCAAUAAAACUCUUUGGGGUACUAUGCAGAAGGUGUAGGUUUGGAAGGAAAGGAAUCUACCUUUGCAUGCAUCCUGGGAUGCCUGUGAACUUGAGAGCUGAAAUGGGUGGAGCCACGUAGGAACACAGGAACAGUGCUGAACUUUGGGCCAGGACAUGUGGCAGGCCAGAUGGGAAGGAAGCUUGGAAAGAGCAGAUGGCUCCCUAGCUUUUAUAUCUCCCGGUAGCCCCCAAUGCACAUGUAUUUUUGCAGAUAUAUCCCUGAAGCAUCCAGAAGAGUCAAGGAGAUACUCCCCAGAUACAGACUCUGCUUCCUUUUUCAGCUCUGUCUCAGACACUGGCUGGAUGUGACCUGUUGGCAUCUGUGGAACUUUCAGGCUAGACCUCUGCCUUUGGCAAAGUGCAUAUGGCAAAUGGAUGAUAAAAGCUUACUAUUUAAGGGUAUGCAUGGAGGGUGGUGGUGGAGAAGACUCUGCUUUUAUAAACCAGGGCCUUUGAUUAAACAGGCAGUGAGUUCUUGCAAUGGAAAUUAGUUGAGUAGUGCUCUGUCAUCCACGCUGGUUUACUUGCUGUGGGACAUACUGUUGAAGCAUCUUCAUGCCUGGACUUCUGCCACAGAAUAAUCAUGUGGGUUUUAUGUUUCCU